rnacentral:rRNA from 1 species
GACGAACCGUGCGAACGUUAUUCGGAAUCACUGGGCUUAAAGCGCGUGUAGGCGGGAGGGCACGUCCGUCGCUGAAAUCCCACGGCUCAACCGUGGAACGGGCGCGGAUACGACUCUUCUGGAGGAACGUAGGGGGACCUGGAACUUCCGGUGGAGCGGUGAAAUGCGUUGAGAUCGGAAGGAACGCCCGUGGCGAAAGCGAGGUCCUGGACGUUUACUGACGCUGAGACGCGAAAGCCAGGGGAGCGAACGGG